GGACGGGUGAGUAAUGCCUAAGAAUCUGCCUGGUAGUGGGGGAUAACGUCCGGAAACGGGCGCUAAUACCGCAUACGUCCUGAGGGAGAAAGUGGGGGAUCUUCGGACCUCACGCUAUCAGAUGAGCCUAGGUCGGAUUAGCUAGUUGGUGGGGUAAAGGCCUACCAAGGCGACGAUCCGUAACUGGUCUGAGAGGAUGAUCAGUCACACUGGAACUGAGACACGGUCCAGACUCCUACGGGAGGCAGCAGAGGGGAAUAUUGGACAAUGGGCGAAAGCCUGAUCCAGCCAUGCCGCGUGUGUGAAGAAGGUCUUCGGAUUGUAAAGCACUUUAAGUUGGGAGGAAGGGCAGUAAGUUAAUACCUUGCUGUUUUGACGUUACCAACAGAAUAAGCACCGGCUAACUUCGUGCCAGCAGCCGCGGUAAUACGAAGGGUGCAAGCGUUAAUCGGAAUUACUGGGCGUAAAGCGCGCGUAGGUGGUUCAGCAAGUUGGAUGUGAAAUCCCCGGGCUCAACCUGGGAACUGCAUCCAAAACUACUGAGCUAGAGUACGGUAGAGGGUGGUGGAAUUUCCUGUGUAGCGGUGAAAUGCGUAGAUAUAGGAAGGAACACCAGUGGCGAAGGCGACCACCUGGACUGAUACUGACACUGGGGUGCGAAAGCGUGGGGAGCAAACAGGAUUAGAUACCCUGGUAGUUCACGCCGUAAACGAUGUCGACUAGCCGUUGGGAUCCUUGAG
rnacentral:rRNA from 1 species